rnacentral:rRNA from 1 species
CCUACGGGAGGCAGCAGUGAGGAAUAUUGGUCAAUGGGCGCGAGCCUGAACCAGCCAAGUCGCGUGAGGGAAGACGGCCCUACGGGUUGUAAACCUCUUUUGCCGGGGAGCAACGGGCGCCACGUGUGGCGCCACUGAGAGUACCCGGAGAAAAAGCAUCGGCUACCUCCGUGCCAGCAGCCGCGGUAUUACGGGGGAUGCGAGCGUUAUCCGGAUUUGUUGGGUUUAAAGGGUGCGUAGGCGGUGCGUUAAGUAAGUGGUCAACUUGAGGGGCUCAACCCCUUCCCGCCAUUGAAACUGGCGCUCUUGAGUGGAAGAGAAGUAUGCGGAAUGCGUGGUGUAGCGGUGAAAUGCAUAGAUAUCACGCAGAACCCCGAUUGCGAAGGCAGCAUGCCGGCUUCCGACUGACGCUGAAGCACGAAAGCGUGGGGAUCGAACAGGAUUAGAUACCCUUGUAGUU